UGAGGAAUAUUGCGCAAUGGAGGCAACUCUGACGCAGCAACGCCGCGUGGGGGAAGAAGGCCUUCGGGUCGUAAACCCCUUUUGCCGGGGAAGAUCAUGACGGUACCCGGCGAAUAAGCCACGGCUAACUACGUGCCAGCAGCCGCGGUAAUACGUAGGUGGCAAGCGUUGUCCGGAUUUAUUGGGCGGAAAGCGCGCGCAGGCGGUUCGGUAAGUCCGGGGUGCAAUCUCCCGGCUCAACUGGGCGGG
rnacentral:rRNA from 1 species